CAGCCUCCACUGCUUAGUUAUAUGUCUCCAUUGUAGAAAAAGAAGAAAGGAAAGAAGGGCAGUAAGAAGAAGAAGAAGAAAGAGAAGGAUCUGACAGCCGACAGAACCCUUGAGUCUCUGUAUGAAGAGCUGGUGCUGGAGGGCUUCUUGAUUAGACCCUUGAACAUCAAGCUCUCUGAGUACAUUGGUGAGUUCAGCUACCUGGGUACGACCCUGCGCCAGGCAGACAUUGAGCCCAUGCCCUCUCUGUCAGACGUCAGACAGCUCAUUGCCCUUUAUGGGAUCCUGCCUCUGGGUUCCCAGUCCGUCCAUCAGAAGGCUCCCCUGAUGAAGACUCUGCUGCUGGCUGGUCCUGGAGGCGUAGGGG